rnacentral:rRNA from 1 species
CCUACGGGCGGCAGCAGUGAGGAAUAUUGGUCAAUGGCCGGAAGGCUGAACCAGCCAAGCCGCGUGAAGGACGAAGGUGCCAAGCAUUGUAAACUUCUUUUGUCAAGGGACAAAAUCAGGCUCGAGAGCCUGACCGAGGGUACUUGAAGAAAAAGCAUCGGCUAACUCCGUGCCAGCAGCGGCGGUAAUACGGAGGAUGCGAGCGUUAUCCGGAUUUAUUGGGUUAAAGGGGUGCGUAGGCGGACUGUUAAGUCAGCGGUAAAAGCCCGGGGCUCAACCCCGGCGAGCCGUUGAAACUGGCUGUCUUGAGAAGUCGAGAGGUAUGCGGAAUGCGCGGUGUAGCGGUGAAAUGCGUAGAUAUUGCGAAGAACUCUGAUUGCGAAGGCAGCAUACCGGCGGCGAACUGACGCUGAGGCACGAAGGCGUGGGUAUCGAACGGGAUUAGAUACCCUGGUAGUC